AGUAUAUACACUGAAAAAUAAGUAAUAGAAAGAGCAUCGAAACACGAGGCUAUCUGAUUUGUACGAGGGAGUGUAGCCCCCGAGUAUUAAUCAGAUUGCAGAGUGUUUUGAUGUGUAUCAUAGUCAAACAUAAAAACAUGUUCCCUGAUGUCACAAAAUGAAACCCCAGCAAAAAGGAACCAAUGAACGAACAUCUGAAUAUGAUAUUUCUGUCUCUUUCCCUUUCUCUGCCGUCACAAUAUGUAAACCCCAGCAAAAAUGAACCAAUCAAUGGGCAUGCUCUGGAGUGCAGGUAACUAAUACAUGCACUAGAGUUAACGCACUGUGCAUGUAUAUGUAUACGAUUUAACUCGUUUUCAACAGAAAGGUCCCCAAACUAUGAUACAACAACAAGUUAUAUGUUUUUUUUCUUUAUUAAUAGUAUAUAUGGAUGAAAUUUAAAGAACCACACAUGUACCGACUGCCUGUGGCUAAAGUAUACAGAAUUCUCCUUUACACUUUUAACUAAUUUAGACUCGUAUCACUUUACGUUUAUCAUUAUUUAUUUAUUUAUUUAUUUCAUUUUUAUAACGACCAAGGUUAGCUUGUUAGUAUUUAAGGAAUUUACGCACUCACUACUGUAUUCCGACUUCUAUAAAUCAAUAACCUAGGUCCGCACCUGCCUUUUGAAUAAAUGUAUGUCAGGGCCUGGGGAAUUUAGUAGUUUUAAUAGCAAAAAGUUGAAAACAAAAUGUCUUGGUUUGAGACGGCAGCCUACCCUUUUAAAAUGAGUUUACGUCACGUCAUUUAUGUUCAAAUGUAAGAGGUGAAUAUCAUUUAUAAAGCAAUAAUGUAAUAUACAUGUACAUCUAGUCCAAUUUAUCGGACGUUACGGGCUUGUGACAGUUUAUGUUGGUCAAGCCCGGCUAUGCCAAGAAGUAAACACAUCUCAAAAGAAACGUCAUAUUUAUGCAUUUCAAGACAAAAGCGAAAGUAGGACUUGUAUACAAUACCGAAAUCGAAACAAUGACAAA